GCAGCACAGCGCUGCGCUCCUAGAGAAGCUGUGGGUUCGUGGCAUCCGCGCCGCGGCCGCAAAUAUAGCAGGUUUCGUACCUGGUGUUCAUCGCCGUUAAGUCAUCGCUGCUGCCACCCAGGCACGGCUCUCUAUGCCGCCGCUCCCUCCACCCUCUCUGCACUGCCAGCAGUAAGAAUUUUUACUGCGACACUCGCUUCAGCAGGAGAUUUUAUUGGCUGUAGACACGCCCAGCAUCUUCUUGAGCUCCUCCCUGAGGUGGAUGGGCAGCUAGCUGCAGGUGGCACAGGAUGAUACACAUCUUUUCUCACGCCGCUUUGCCCUCUAGCUCCAAGAUCUCGGCUGCCAGUGACUUCAACUGAAGUGGAGUAAAUAAAGAUGAUUGCAGAACUUGGAAGCUGACGAAAUCAGUUUUGGAAAAGAGCUGGCUUGGAGCGUGACAGAAGGGAGAGAUGGAAAGAAUGCUGGGAGUCCAACUCAAGACUGAUGUGUGCUUGGCAGGCAGUCUACCCCAGUCUCAGUCCUCUAGCCUUUUGGCCUUUUUUCCUUUUUGGAGACAGGAUUGCAUCAUAGGGCAGCCUGGCCUCCUACACAGUCCUGCCUCAGUCUCUGGAGUGCUGGGAUUGUAGGCCUAUACCACCGCGCCUUUCUACAAUACAAACAGGAAAGGAAGAGGGGCUUCUUUGGAAAGGAGUAAAAGGACCA
rnacentral:lncRNA from 1 species